UACAGAGGUCUCAAGCGUUGUUCGGAUUCAUUGGGCGUAAAGGGUGCGUAGGCGGCGCGGUAAGUCGGAUGUGAAAUCUCGGAGCUUAACUUCGAAACUGCAUUCGAUACUGCCGUGCUUGAGGACUGGAGAGGAGACUGGAAUUUACGGUGUAGCGGUGAAAUGCGUAGAUAUCUGAAGGAACAUCAGUGGCGAAAGCGACUUCCUGGACCAAUACUGACGCUCAUGUGCGAAAGCGUGGGGAGCAAACAGG
rnacentral:rRNA from 1 species